CGGUGAUAUUUUAUCUACUAAAGAGAGCUUAGAAGAAAAGACACUAAAAAUAAAGCAACAAAAUAUAGAGUAUGAUUAUCAAAAAAAAUAAAGAUAUGUUUCAAUAAAGGUGUGAAAAAGUACUAAAAAACAAAAAGCGAAAAAGAAAAAAAGGAUUACACCAUCUAUACUUGAUAGGCAAGCCCUACGUAUUGUAUUUAUUCUUUACUCUUUAAGUGUUGCCCCGUCAGCAGUCUAUUCAUUUGCUUUCAUAUAAAAUGGGUAGGAUGAUGGCCUUUUGAUUGUAUACCUCAAAAGCAAUUGCUGCUUGUAUAGUUAAUCCAUCUUAAUUUUCAAGGAAUGCUAUACACUAAAAAAUAUUGCGAGCUUACCACAAAGAUCGAUAUUACAUUUUUACACACACGUAACGUUCAAAUCUACCGAGAUCACUGUCUGUAUUAGUGAAACCCAUUAAUUUACUUUAUACUAAAUAGCGAUGCCUAAUCCCUACGCUCUUUAGCAUCCUUCGUAAUCACCUUGGUUUCCCGCAUGCUCCGCGCAACUGGUUCCCGCCAAUGGCGAUCGUUUAAUGACUUUCAAAUGACAUCAGCUACCUCGUGUCGAGCGAGUAUCCUUCUAGCGCAAUAUGACGAAUGCUAUCGCCUAGUCAAAGCUAAAGGAGAUAGUGCGUGGAAAACCUUGAAUGUGCUGAUAUACACGGCAAAUGGUCGCUUUGAAAAAAUUUAAAAGAAGCAUUAGUACAGCAUAUAUAAAGUUUUUUUUACUCAAACAUGUUUCUUAAAAUAUUUUUUAUUAUUUUAAUAUUUAACUAGAUGCUUCUAGACUGUACCAUUUUUACACAGUCGGGGUCCGGGAUAGCGUUCCGUCAUCGCGCCGAAAAUGUUGAUCCGUGAUUGUAUAUAAGAAGCGCUUCCCGUCAAAUUUUUCGUUCCAUUAAAAAGGGAGUUUUUGACUAACGUCUUA